CCUACAGGGGAUUGCCUUAGUAACGGCGAGUGAAGCGGCAAUAGCUCAAAUUUGAAAUCUGGCGCUUGCGUCCGAGUUGUAAUUUGUAGAGGAUGAUUUUGGUUAGGUACCUUUCGAGUUCCUUGGAACAGGACGCCUUAGAGGGUGAGAGCCCCGUACGAUUGGAUGCCGAGCCUCUGUAAAUCUCCUUCGACGAGUCGAGUAGUUUGGGAAUGCUGCUCUAAAUGGGAGGUAAAUUUCUUCUAAAGCUAAAUACCGGCCAGAGACCGAUAGCGCACAAGUAGAGUGAUCGAAAGAUGAAAAGCACUUUGAAAAGAGGGUUAAAUAGCACGUGAAAUUGUUGAAAGGGAAGGAUUUAUGACCAGACUUUUUCUAGGAGAAUCAUCCGGUGUUCUCACCGGUGCACUUCUUUUAGUUUAGGCCAGCAUCGACUUUCGGCGGUGGAUAAAAGCUUUAGGAAUGUGGCUUCCCUCGGGAAGUGUUAUAGCCUAUUGUAUAAUACACUGCUGGGGGUCGAGGUACGCGCUUCUGCAAGGAUGCUGGCGUAAUGGUUAUCAAUCACCCGUCUUGAAACACGGACCAAGGAGUCGAACAUUUGUGCGAGUGUUUGGGUGUUAAACCCUCACGCGUAAUGAAAGUGAACGGAGGUGAGAGCCCUUACGGGUGCAUCAUCGACCGAUCCUGAUGUUUUCGGAUGGAUUUGAGUAAGAGCAUAAAUGUUCGGACCCGAAAGAUGGUGAACUAUGCGUGGAUAGGGUGAAGCCAGAGGAAACUCUGGUGGAGGCUCGCAGCGGUUCUGACGUGCAAAUCGAUCGUCAAAUCUGCGCAUGGGGGCGAAAGACUAAUCGAACCAUCUAGUAGCUGGUUACCGCC
rnacentral:rRNA from 1 species